GAUGAACGCUGGCGGCGUGCUUAACACAUGCAAGUCGAACGAUGAAGCCCAGCUUGCUGGGUGGAUUAGUGGCGAACGGGUGAGUAACACGUGAGUAACCUGCCCUUGACUCUGGGAUAAGCCUGGGAAACUGGGUCUAAUACCGGAUAGGAGCGUCCACCGCAUGGUGGGUGUUGGAAAGAUUUUUCGGUCAUGGAUGGACUCGCGGCCUAUCAGCUUGUUGGUGAGGUAAUGGCUCACCAAGGCGACGACGGGUAGCCGGCCUGAGAGGGUGACCGGCCACACUGGGACUGAGACACGGCCCAGACUCCUACGGGAGGCAGCAGUGGGGAAUAUUGCACAAUGGGCGAAAGCCUGAUGCAGCGACGCCGCGUGAGGGAUGACGGCCUUCGGGUUGUAAACCUCUUUCAGUAGGGAAGAAGCGAAAGUGACGGUACCUGCAGAAGAAGCACCGGCUAACUACGUGCCAGCAGCCGCCGUAACAC
rnacentral:rRNA from 1 species